rnacentral:tRNA from 1 species
CAGAGGGUAGUUUAAUUUAGAAUCUUAGCU